rnacentral:rRNA from 1 species
AAUAUUGGACAAUGGGCGAAAGCCUGAUCCAGCCAUGCCGCGUGUGUGAAGAAGGUCUUCGGAUUGUAAAGCACUUUUAGUUGGGAGGAAGGGCAGUAAGUUAAUACCCUUAUGUGUUGAUGUUACCUACAGAUUUAGAACCGGCUCACUUAGUGUCAUCAUCCGCGGUAAUACGAAGAGUGCAAGGGUUAAUAGGAAUUACUGGGCGGAAAGCACGCAUAGGUGGUACGUUAAGUAGGAUGUGAAAGCCCCGGGCUCAACCUGGGAACUGCAUCCAAAACUGGCGAGCUAGAGAACGGUAGAGGGUGGUGGAAUUUCCUGUGUAGCGGUGAAAUGCGUAGAUAUAGGAAGGAACACCAGUGGCGAAGGCGACCACCUGGACUGAUACUGACACUGAAGUGCGAAAGCGUGGGGAGCAAACAGG